GACGAAAUCCUUUGGAGACGACUNAGAUGUGCGAAAGGGUCCUGUAAGCAGUAGAGUAGCCUUGUUGUUACGAUCUGCUAUAAGCCCUCCUUCGGCAUUAGAUUUCA
rnacentral:rRNA from 1 species